AACUGAAGGGUUUGAUCCUGGCUCAGAACGAACGUUGGCGGCGUGGAUUAGGCAUGCAAGUCGAACGCGAAAGUUUCCUUCGGGGAGCGAGUAGAGUGGCGAACGGGUGAGUAAUGCGUAGAUGACCUACCCAGAUGAUCGGGACAACCACUCGAAAGGGUGGCUAAUACCGGAUGUGGUCGGAUUCCUGCGGGUUUCCUACGAAAGAUGGCCUCUGACUCAAGCUGUCGCAUUUGGAGGGGUUUACGUGCUAUUAGCUUGUUGGUGGGGUAACGGCCUACCAAGGCGAUGAUGGCUAGCCGGCCUGAGAGGGUGUCCGGCCACACUGGGACUGAGACACUGCCCAGACUCCUACGGGAGGCUGCAGUCGAGAAUCUUCCA
rnacentral:rRNA from 1 species